CCUACGGGUGGCAGCAGUCGAGAAUCAUUCACAAUGGGGGAAACCCUGAUGGUGCGACGCCGCGUGGGGGAAUGAAGGUCUUCGGAUUGUAAACCCCUGUCAUGUGGGAGCAAAUUAAAAAGAUAGUACCACAAGAGGAAUAGACGGCUAACUCGGUGCCAGCAGCCGCGGUAAUACAGAGGUCUCAAGCGUUGUUCGGAAUCACUGGGCGUAAAGCGUGCGUAGGGUGUUUCGUAAGUCGUGUGUGAAAGGCGCGGGCUCAACCCGCGGAUGGCACAUGAUACUGGGAGACUAGAGUAAUGUAGGGGGAACCGGAAUUCUCGGUGUAGCAGUGAAAUGCGUAGAUAUCGAGAGGAACACUCGUGGCGAAGGCGGGUUACUGGACAUUAACUGACGCUGAGGCACGAAGGCCAGGGGAGCGAAAGGGAUUAGAUACCCCUGUAGUC
rnacentral:rRNA from 1 species